ACGUCGAUAGAUAACGAUACAGUGAGA
rnacentral:guide_RNA from 1 species